GCCAGGCACAGUGGUGCAUGCCUGUAGUCCUAUUAUCUGGGAGGCUGAGGCAGGAGGAUCACUUGAGCCCAGGAGUCCAAGGCUAGCCUGGGCAACAUAGUUAAGACCCACUUCUA
rnacentral:sRNA from 1 species